rnacentral:rRNA from 1 species
UACAGAGGUCUCAAGCGUUGUUCGGAAUUACUGGGCGUAAAGGGUGCGCAGGCCGCGCGGGCAGUCAAAUGUGUAAUCCAGGGGCUCAACCCCUGAACUGCGCUUGAUACUUCCGCGCUCGAGCUUUGGAGAGGAGUCUGGAAUUCUCGGUGUAGCAGUGAAAUGCGUGGAUAUCGAGAAGAACACUUAGGGCGUAGGCAAGACUCUGGGCAAAUGCUGACGCUCAUGCACGAAGGCUAGGGUAGCGAACGGG